GCCCGCCUAGCUCAUCUGGCCAGAGCGCCCGGCCUGUACCCGGGAGGCGACCGGUUCGAGACCGGUGGCGGGCU
rnacentral:tRNA from 1 species